rnacentral:rRNA from 1 species
CCUACGGGGUGCAGCAGUGAGGAAUAUUGGUCAAUGGGCGGAAGCCUGAACCAGCCAAGUCGCGUGAGGGAUUAAGGCCCUGCGGGUUGUAAACCUCUUUUGUCGGGGAGCAGUGGUCCGGACGUGUCCGGACCGGGAUAUUACCCGGAGAAAAAGCAUCGGCUAACUCGUUGCCAGCAGCCGCGGUCAUACGGAGGAUGCGAGCGUUAUCCGGAUUUAUUGGGUUUAAAGGGUGCGUAGGCGGUCAUUUAUGCCGGCGGUAAACUGUCGGGGCUAAACCGCGGCCUGCCGUCGAAACUGGGUGCCUUGAGUGGGCGAGAAGUAUGCGGAAUGCGUGGUGUAGCGGUGAAAUGCAUAGAUAUCACGCAGAACCCCGAUUGCGAAGGCAGCAUACCGGCGCCCUACUGACGCUGAGGCACGAAAGUGUGGGUAUCGAACAGGAUUAGAUACCCCAGUAGUC